GACCGCAUGGCCUAAUGGAUAUGGCAUCUCACUUCGAAUCAGAAGAUUAAGGGUUCGUCGAAUUCCUCUGUGGUCA
rnacentral:tRNA from 1 species